rnacentral:piRNA from 1 species
UGCUGAAGGAGGCAGAGGCAGGG